GGCGUCUCUGAAACAGAAAAUGCAAAAAUAAUGACUGCCAGAGUGACGGUCAUAUCAUUAAAGAACAUAUCUGUCUUCAUCUACUUGUUUGGAAGAGAGAGAAAUGAAGUUAAAACAAAGAGAGGGCUAAAUAGCAAAUAGUGUGUCUUUGGUGGAACUAAAGCUCGUCAUGGAUGGAAAUACACUGACCAUGUUUAGGGAGCAGGACACUAUAACGCAUGAUCGCUCCUGUCAGUGGAAAAAAGCCGGACUGCCACCGUGCUCACUAUUUAGAACUUCCACUUCGGUUUCAGUUACUUCUCAUUUGGACUUUUGAAGGCAGAGCUGCCCUCGUCCUUCUCUGAGUCAAGUAGCACCACCAAAUCUUUGCACUGAAUCUCCACCUUGCCUGACAUCCAGCUGGCAAGUAUGGCCCUCGGAACUAGCCCUAACUGACAAUGCAGCACAUAAAGACAUGGUGCUGUCAGGGACUUAAAAAGGUGCACAGAUUAUCAUCGUAAGGGACAACAGGUGCUGCCGAGGAUAUGGUGAAAAGGGAAGCCUCAUCCACUGUUGGUGGGAAUGUAGAUUAGUCCAGCAACUAUGGGAAACAUGUGGAGGCUCGUCACAAAGUUAAAAACAGAUCUGCCAUAUGAUCCAGCAGUUCUAAUUCUGGGCAUAUACCCAAGGGAAAUGAAAACGAAUAUGCUGAGAUCUUUGCACCCCUGUGUUUAUCGCAGCAUUAAACACAGCAUUCUUCACAAUAGUUAAGAUGUGGAAACAACCCAAAUGCCAAUCAAUGGAUUAAUGAAUGAAAGAGCUAUACAUAUACACAAUGGAAAGUUACUCAGCCAUGAAAAAGGAGGAUAUUCUGCCAUUUGCAACAAUAUGGCCGGACCUUGAGCAUAUUAUACUAAGCGAGAUAAGUAAGAGAAAGACAAGUACUAUAUGAUAGCACUUAUAUGUACAAUCUAAAAGGUCAAACAUGUUUUUUAAAAAAAUUGUGCUUAACAGGAGAUGGGGGCUGGAGGGAUAAAAUGAAUGGUGUUUCAGGAUACAGACACAAAAUGAGUAUUGAGCCACAGAGAUCUAAUGUACAGUAUAUUGAAUAUAGACAGUACUAUUGUACAAUAAGUAUAUAAAGUGAUAAUGUUGCAACCUUAUUAUAUCAAUGUAUCAAAGUAAUGUGUGUAUAACUUAAAUUUAUACAGGGUUACAGGUCAAAUUUAUCCAAUU